UACGUAGGGGGCAAGCGUUGUCCGGAAUCAUUGGGCGUAAAGAGCGUGUAGGCGGCCCGGUAAGUCCGCUGUAAAAGUCAAAGGCUCAACCUUUGAAUGUCAGUGGAUACUGCCGGGUCUAGAGUCCGGAAGAGGCGAGUGGAACUCCUGGUGUAGCGGUGGAAUGCGCAGAUAUCAGGAAGAACACCAACGGCGAAGGCAGCUCGCUGGGACGGUACUGACGCUGAGACGCGAAAGCGUGGGGAGCGAACAGG
rnacentral:rRNA from 1 species